rnacentral:tRNA from 1 species
GCGGCGGUGCUGGAACUGGUAGACAACGCGGACUCAAAAUCCGUGGGGGCUUUGCCCCGUGUGGGUUCGAAUCCCACCCGCCGCA